UAAAGUAAUGGAGAAUCACUAGGAAGUUGAAUAAAUCUCAUAGGAGUUAGGAUGAAGAAGCUAUCCCACUUUCAAAUCAGGUGAUCCCAGUUUUCCUGUUUGGGAAUAUGACAGCUUCUUUGUCAUUCUAAUCAAACCAGAAUUAAUCGCGAUGUAAGAAGCUUGAUUUUGAUACAUAAAGUAAUGGAGAAUCACUAGGAAGUUGAAUAAAUCUCAUAGGAGUUAGGAUGAAG
rnacentral:lncRNA from 1 species